UUACCUCUGAAGAAAUUUAGAGAGUCGUUUUGUGUUCAUCUCCCAUAAUUGCAGCACAAAUGUGGUAUUGUUCCACUUUCAACCAGUAUAUUAUAUUUAGAAGUGGGUUGAACUCAAGUUCAUGUGGAGAAAUUGGUGGAAUUGCUCAGGAAGAAGAACACAUAACGUAGGACAAGAAAAGCUUAAAGACAACAGUUAGGAUUUUGUUGUCUAAAGCUCCAAACAUCAUUGUGUGUUAAAAACUUACCCCGUUUGUGCAGAAAGAUUAUGUGUGGAAAAUCAAAUGCCCAUAUCUGCUAGGUGUUCGAUCAAAGGCCUCUAAGAGAUUUGCAUGAUGUGAAAGGCUUACCACCACUUGCGUAUGUUCUUUAAGGAAGCCCUAGAGUAAUCAUCUGGAUGCAAGGAGAGUAACAGUAGCAACACUGAGUAAGCAUAAGUGUUAUGAUAAGGAUUCAACCACGGCGGAGGUAAUUAAUGGCAGCCAUGGAAGCUAUAAGGUUGGCUAGAGAUAUGUGAUGAUUUCAAGUGAUACUUGAGGGGAUGACAAGCUUCAAUGGCACAUUUAAAGAGAGAGCUGAGAAGUUUAGGCAGUUAAAGUUUUUGUUCAUGGAGCUACAAGCACAGCAUCACAUUCUUUACCUAUAUUUUUAGUUCAUUUGGUUGAUAGGAAUUUUUGGAUUGGUCACAGUCCACAAUUCUUACAACCCCAAUUGCCACUGCUAUAUUGAACUCUAUUUAACAUAAAUCAAAAUUUUUCUCUUCAAA